GAUUAACGCUAGCGGCAGGCCUAACACAUGCAAGUCGCACGGGAUUUCGGGUAGCAAUAUCUUGAUGAGAGUGGCGCACGGGUGCGUAACACGUAUGCAAUCUACCUUUAACUGGGGAAUAGCUCACCGAAAGGUGAAUUAAUACCGCAUAAAAUCACAGAAGGACAUCCUUCAAUGAUUAAACCUACGGGGUUAAGAUGAGCAUGCGUCCGAUUAGUCAGUUGGCGGGGUAA
rnacentral:rRNA from 1 species